UACAGACGGCGCAAGCGUUAUCCGGAAUGAUUGGGCGUAAAGCGUCUGUAGGUGGCUUUUAAAGUCUACUGUCAAAUACCAGAGCUCAACUUUGGACAGGCAGUGGAGAACUUAAAGGCUAGAGUGCGGUAGGGGUAGAGGGAAUUCCCGGUGAAGCAGUGAAAUGCACAGAGAUCGGGAAGAACACCAGUGGCGAAGGCGCUCUACUGGGCCGCAACUGACACUGAGAGACGAUAGCUAGGGGAGCGAAUAGG
rnacentral:rRNA from 1 species